rnacentral:rRNA from 1 species
UACGAAGGGGGCUAGCGUUGCUCGGAAUGACUGGGCGUAAAGGGCGCGUAGGCGGUGGACACAGUCAGGCGUGAAAUUCCUGGGCUCAACCUGGGGGCUGCGUUUGAUACGUGUUUGCUAGAGUGGGGAAGAGGGUCGUGGAAUUCCCAGUGUAGAGGUGAAAUUCGUAGAUAUUGGGAAGAACACCGGUGGCGAAGGCGGCGACCUGGUCCUUGACUGACGCUGAGGCGCGAAGGCGUGGGGAGCAAACAGG